UGUUGGAUGUCCCGGUUCAAGCGUGUAGUCAUACCCUUUAGGCAAAUCCGGAGGGUUUAGAUGAGGCGUGAUAACGAGGCGGCUUGCCGCUGAAGUGAGUAAUACCCUGCUUCCAGGAAAAGCCACUAAGCUCCAGCUACAUACGACCGUACCGCAAACCGACACUGGUGCGCGAGAUGAGUAUUCUAAGGCGCUUGAGAGAACUCUGGAGAAGGAACUCGGCAAAUUGACACCGUAACUUCGGAAGAAGGUGUGCCUUUAGUAGGUGAUCCAUUUACUUGGUGAGCCCAAUGAGGUCGCAGAGAAUCGGUGGCUGCAACUGUUUAUUAAAAACACAGCACUCUGCAAAGACGAAAGUCGACGUAUAGGGUGUGACGCCUGCCCGGUGCUGGAAGAUUAAAUGAUGGGGUGCAAGCUCUUGAUUGAAGUCCCAGUAAACGGCGGCCGUAACGAUAACGGUCCUAAGGUAGCGAAAUUCCUUGUCGGGUAAGUUCCGACCUGCACGAAUGGCGUAAUGAUGGCCACACUGUCUCCUCCAGAGACUCAGCGAAGUUGAAAUGUUUGUGAUGAUGCAAUCUCCCCGCGGAAAGACGGAAAGACCCCAUGAACCUUUACUGUAGCUUUACAUUGGACUUUGAACAGAUCUGUGUAGGAUAGGUGGGAGGCUUUGAGGUGCAGUCGCUAGAUUGCAUGGAGCCAACGUUGAAAUACCACCCUGGUGUGUUUGAGGUUCUAACCUUGGCCCGUUAUCCGGGUUGGGGACAGCGUAUGGUGGGCAGUUUGACUGGGGCGGUCUCCUCCCAAAGUGUAACGAGGAGUUCGAAGGUACGCUAGGCACGGUCGGAAAUCGUGCUGAUAGUGCAUUGGCAUAAGCGUGCUUGACUGCGAGACUGACAAGUCGAGCAGGUACGAAAGUAGGACAAAGUGAUCCGGUGGUUCUGUAUGGAAGGGCCAUCGCUCAACGGAUAAAAGGUACUCUGGGGAUAACAGGCUGAUACCGCCCAAGAGUUCAUAUCGACGGCGGUGUUUGGCACCUCGAUGUCGGCUCAUCUCAUCCUGGGGCUGUAGCCGGUCCCAAGGGUAUGGCUGUUCGCCAUUUAAAGAGGUACGUGAGCUGGGUUUAAAACGUCGUGAGACAGUUUGGUCCCUAUCUUCCGUGGGCGCUGCAAGAUUGAGAGAGCCUGCUCCUAGUACGAGAGGACCGGAGUGGACGCACCGCUGGUGUAUCGGUUGUCAUGCCAAUGGCAUUGCCGAGUAGCUAAGUGCGGAAGAGAUAACCGCUGAAAGCAUCUAAGCGGGAGACUCGUCUCAAGAUGAGUCUUGCCGGGGCCUUGAGCCCCCUGAAGGGUCGUUCGAGACCAGGACGUUGAUAGGCUGGGUGUGGAAGCGCAGUAAUGCGUUAAGCUAACCAGUACUAAUUGCCCGUGCGGCUUGACCCU
rnacentral:rRNA from 1 species